GACGAACGCUGGCGGCGUGCUUAACACAUGCAAGUCGAACGGAAAGGCCCUGCUUUUGUGGGGUGCUCGAGUGGCGAACGGGUGAGUAACACGUGAGUAACCUGCCCUUGACUUUGAGAUAACUUCAGGAAACUGGGGCUAAUACCGGAUAGGAGCUCCUGCUGCAUGGGGGGGGUUGGAAAGUUUCGGCGGUUGGGGAUGGACUCGCGGCUUAUCAGCUUGUUGGUGGGGUAGUGGCUUACCAAGGCUUUGACGGGUAGCCGGCCUGAGAGGGUGACUGGCCACAUUGGGACUGAGAUACGGCCCAGACUCCUACGGGAGGCAGCAGUGGGGAAUAUUGCACAAUGGGCGGAAGCCUGAUGCAGCAACGCCGCGUGCGGGAUGACGGCCUUCGGGUUGUAAACCGCUUUCGCCUGUGACGAAGCGUGAGUGACGGUAAUGGGUAAAGAAGCACCGGCUAACUACGUG
rnacentral:rRNA from 1 species